AUUGAACGCUGGCGGCAGGCCUAACACAUGCAAGUCGAACGCGUGGCGGACGGGUGCGUACUGUCUGGGAAACUGCCCGCUUGAGGGGGAUAACUACUGGACACGGUAGCUAAUACCGCAUACCAUCGGAUGUGCCCAGAUGGGAUUACCUUGUAGGUGAGGUAACGGCUAACCUAGGCGACGAUCCCUAGCUGGUCUGCGAGGAUGACCAGCCACACUUGAACUGAGACACGGUGCAGAGGCCUACGGGGGGCAGCAGUGGUGAAUAUUGCACAAUGGGCGGAAGCCUGAUGCAGCCAGGCCGCGUGUAUGAAGAAGUCCUUCGGGUUGUAAAGUACUUUCAGCGGGGAGGCGUUACCCGCAGAGGAAGCACCGGCUAACUCCGUGCCAGCAGCCGCGGUAAUUC
rnacentral:rRNA from 1 species